GUCUGUUGAAAAAGGCGGUGAUGAGCUGUGGGUAGCGGAGAAAUUCCAAUCGAACUCGGAGAUAGCUGGUUCUCCCCGAAAUAGCUUUAGGGCUAGCCUCGGUAUAGUCUAAUGGAGGUAGAGCACUGAAUCGCUGCGGGGGCGUCAAAGUCUACCAAUGCGUAUCAAACUCCGAAUGCCAUAUAGAUGUUUACCGGGAGUCAGACUGUAUGAGAUAAGUCGGACAGUCAAAAGGGAAACAGCCCAGACCAUCUGCUAAGGUCCCAAAGUGUAUGUUAAGUGGUAAAGGAUGUGGGGUUUCGAAGACAACUAGGAUGUUGGCUCAGAAGCAGCCAUUCAUUCAAAGAGUGCGUAAUAGCUCACUAGUCGAGAGGUCCUGCGCCGAAAAUGUCCGGGGCUGAAACAUAACACCGAAGCAAUGGAAUAUACCGUAAGGUAUGUUGGUAGGGGAGCAUUGAUAACACGAAGAAGCGGUACCGUAAGGAGUCGUGGAGAGUUAUCAAGAGAGAAUGCCGGAAUGAGUAGCGAGAUGAAGGUGAGAAUCCUUCAGGCCGUAUAUCCAAGGUUUCCAGGGUAAAGCUGAUCUUCCCUGGGGAAGUCGGGACCUAAGCUCAGGCUGAGAAGCGUAGGCGAUGGACAACUGGUUGAUAUUCCAGUACCUCUGGCUAUCAGAAAUGUGGGGACACGGAGAUUCAGGGAGUGCCUGUAAAGGAUUCAGGUGCAAGCAUGGUUUAUGCCGGGCAGGCAAAUCCGUCCGGGUAAGUGGACUGUGUGAUGCGGACCGAAAUAUAAGUAGGGAAGCUCCUGGGAGAGCCGUCGAGAAAAGCCGCUAUUGUGUAGUCAGAGCCCGUACCGUAAACCGACACAGGUGGAUGGGGAGAGUAUCCCAAGGCCGGCGGGAGAAGCAUUGUUAAGGAACUCGGCAAAAUGGCCCCGUAAGUUCGCGAUAAGGGGUGCCUGUAGAGAUACAGGCCGCAGAGAAUAGGCUCAAGCAACUGUUUAGCAAAAACACAGGUCUAUGCGAAACCGUAAGGUGAUGUAUAUGGGCUGACGCCUGCCCGGUGCUGGAAGGUUACGGGGAGUGCUUAGGAGUAAUCCGAAGGUACGAACUUAAGCCCCAGUAAACGGCGGCCGUAACUAUAACGGUCCUAAGGUAGCGAAAUUCCUUGUCGGGUAAGUUCCGACCCGCACGAAAGGCGUAAUGAUUUGAGCGCUGUCUCAACAAUGCACCCGGUGAAAUUGAAGUACCAGUGAAGAUGCUGGUUACCUGCGCCAAGACGGAAAGACCCCAUGGAGCUUUACUCCAUCUUGGUACUGGGAUUAGAUAUAUGAUGUACAGGAUAGGUGGGAGACUGAGAAGCAGGGACGCCAGUUUCUGCGGAGUCAAUGUUGGGAUACCACCCUUCGUGUAUCUGGUUUCUAACCUUUGCCCGUUAUCCGGGCAGGGGACAAUGCCAGGAGGGGAGUUUGACUGGGGCGGUCGCCUCCGAAAGUGUAUCGGAGGCGCUCAAAGGUUCCCUCAGAAUGGUUGGAAACCAUUCGCAGAGUGUAAAGGCAGAAGGGAGCUUGACUGCGACACCGACGGGUGGAGCAGGUACGAAAGUAGGACUUAGUGAUCCGGUGGUAUAAAGUGGGAUUGCCAUCGCUCAACGGAUAAAAGCUACCCUGGGGAUAACAGGCUUAUCACUCCCAAGAGUUCACAUCGACGGAGUGGUUUGGCACCUCGAUGUCGGCUCAUCGCAUCCUGGGGCUGUAGCAGGUCCCAAGGGUUGGGCUGUUCGCCCAUUAAAGCGGUACGCGAGCUGGGUUCAGAACGUCGUGAGACAGUUCGGUCCCUAUCUGGCGCAGGCGUAGGAUAUUUGAGGAGAGCCGUCCUUAGUACGAGAGGACCGGGAUGGACGAACCGCUGGUAGACCAGUUGCAGUGCCAGCUGCACGGCUGGGAAGCCAAGUUUGGCAGGGAUAAACGCUGAAGGCAUCUAAGCGUGAAGCCCCCUCCAAGAUAAGAUAUCCCAUAGCGUAGGCUAAUAAGACCCCUUAGAGAGUAUGAGGUUGAUAGGUCAGUGGUGUAAGCGGAGUAAUCCGUGUGCCUUCUGAUACUAAUAGGUCGAAGGCUUGACCAA
rnacentral:rRNA from 1 species